rnacentral:rRNA from 1 species
UGGUUAAGCUACUAAGAGCACACGGAGGAUGCCUAGGCGCUAGGAGCCGAAGAAGGACGUGGCGA